rnacentral:rRNA from 1 species
AUUGAACGCUGGCGGCAGGCCUAACACAUGCAAGUCGAACGGUAACAGGAAGAAGCUUGCUUCUUUGCUGACGAGUGGCGGACGGGUGAGUAAUGUCUGGGAAACUGCCUGAUGGAGGGGGAUAACUACUGGAAACGGUAGCUAAUACCGCAUAACGUCGCAAGACCAAAGAGGGGGACCUUCGGGCCUCUUGCCAUCGGAUGUGCCCAGAUGGGAUUAGCUAGUAGGUGGGGUAACGGCUCACCUAGGCGACGAUCCCUAGCUGGUCUGAGAGGAUGACCAGCCACAUUGGAACUGAGACACGGUCCAGACUCCUACGGGAGGCAGCAGUGGGGAAUAUUGCACAAUGGGCGCAAGCCUGAUGCAGCCAUGCCGCGUGUAUGAAGAAGGCCUUCGGGUUGUAAAGUACUUUCAGCGGGGAGGAAGGGAGUAAAGUUAAUACCUUUGCUCAUUGACGUUACCCGCAGAAGAAGCACCGGCUAACUCCGUG